UUGAACUCUUGACCGCAGAUGAUCCGCCUGCCUCGGCCUCCCAAAGUGCUGGGAUUACAGGCAUGAGCCACGGUGUCCGGCCGCAUCCCUGCUUCUUAAGCCUCUUCCUCUGCAGUCCAUCCUGAUUACUAACGAAUGGCCGAGAAGCACGACUUUCAUCCAGCCACUCCCAGCCUCAGAGCCUUCACGAGCUCCUUCUCGCUGCGGGAUAAAGCACAGCUCCUCCGCCAGCCCGGCGCGCAGCGGGCCUCACCUCUCCUGCCCGGCCCUCUCAAUUGUCCCCUGCUCUUCCACCAGGAUCCUUGAAUCCUGCCAGACCUCGCUCCCCUGGGCCUGGGGCGUCCCCGAACUCAUCCUCGCAGCUUCCCUGUCCCAGGAGGGCCCGCUGGCCAAAUCCUCCCCACUCUGCCUGCGGCGAGGCUUGCUGGACUAGCAGACUCAGAAUGGCCUGUUCUGAACAGCCUUGGGGUUUCCGUUUGCACAUUCUGAAGCAAAGCAAUGUGAGAACCGUUUUCAUUGCGUGAGGCAAGGUUUCUCAACCUGAGCACUAUUGACACUUUGGCCUGAAUAAUCUUUUCUGUGGGGGCUCUUCCCGUGCCCUGUAGGAAGUUUAGCAGCUUUCCUGGCCUCUGACCACGAGAUGCCAGUAGCACCUUCCAGUGUGGCAACCGGAAGUCUCCCGACACUGCCAAAUAUUCCCUGGGGGGACAGCUGCUGUGUAAGGGAAGGCUUGUACCACCAGCUGCACUCUCUCAACAGGAGGUUCACUGGAACUAGAUGUAGCAGCCACCUACUGCCACUAACCACAGAGUGGCCACCAGGCAUCUCCGGACACUGGCAGUUGGCAACCGCUCUGGUUCAGAUCAUCUGAAAUGAAGCCCUACACAGCCCAAGGACACGCCCACGUCUGCAACAGAACGCACACUGAGAGCUUCCUGUUGCCUGGGAAACGUGUUAAAUGUGCUACAGAGACACAGACUUGUAUCCAACAUUUCAGAGGUAGUCAGUAUGCAGCAGGAAAACAAAAUAAAACGCAGGCUGAAAGAAUGGGUGGGAUCCAAGGAAUCAAAGCAGUAGAUGGACGACCAGGAGCACCCCAAGUUAUCUUCAGGAAACAGAGCGACAAAACGCAAAGGAAGCCGGAAGCACGACCACUCUUUACCCUCGGCCUCAUUACAAGACCAAGACCUCUGCCUCGGCGCGGCAGCUCUCACCUGGAAUCCCAGCACUUUGGGAGGCCGAAGCGGACGGAUCACCUGAGGUGUCAGGAGUUUGAGACCAGCCUGGCCAACAAGGGACGCUCACCUACCUCAUGAAUUACGCGUGUCGCCCUCCUCGAGACGCCACAACGCAGUCCCCUGGGGAGCCAGCCGGAGACCUCUCCCUGCGGUGCUGUCUCCCCCGUGGUGGAACGGAAGCCCCUAAUAAAGCCUUGUCUGGGAAAUUUGCUUGGCCUCGUGUCAAUUUUUAUCGGAGCCUAAAGAACCUGUGGUCAGUAACACGAUCAUUUCAGUUAUCACUUAAGUUUUGGCUUCCUUAAUAUGAGAGUCAGUUUUGAAAAAUCAAAAAAGAGGCUGGGCGCCGUGGC
rnacentral:lncRNA from 1 species